rfam:Vitis vinifera, whole genome shotgun sequence of line PN40024, unoriented chromosome 11, chr11
UGCUGAUGAUGAAACAAAGGAUACUUUGUAAUGUAUGAGAAAUCAUGAUUACAACUAUACCUCUACUGCCUUCCUUCUGAAGCU